AAGUCGUAACAAGGUUUCCGUAGGUGAACCUGCGGAAGGAUCAUUACUGAAAAGUUCGCAAGAACCGAUCACACACCCCAUUGUCUACCAUUACCAUGUUGCUUCCACUGGACAGGCCGGACCCCUCUUCUUCAAUACUGAAGGCGGGAGGUUCAGCCCUCUGGCCAUUCGACCUUAAAAAUCGAACAGCUGGGGAGUGCCGGUGGAUGGCCCCCUUAAAAAAACUUUUUAAAGAAGCAUUAUACGUCUGAACUACUGUUUUAUAACAAGAAAACAUUAUAAAACUUUCAACAACGGAUCUCUAGGCUCUU
rnacentral:misc_RNA from 1 species